CCUACGGGUGGCAGCAGUGGGGAAUAUUGCGCAAUGGGCGCAAGCCUGACGCAGCGACGCCGCGUGAGGGAUGAAGGUCUUCGGAUCGUAAAACUCUGUCAGCAGGGAAGAACGGUCACUGUGCUAAUCAGCAGUGAAUUGACGGUACCUGCAAAGGAAGCACCGGCUAACUCCGUGCCAGCAGCCGCGGUAAUACGGAGGGUGCGAGCGUUAAUCGGAAUUACUGGGCGUAAAGCGCUCGUAGGCGGUAUGUCAAGUCAAGGGUGAAAUCCCCGCGCUCAACGGUGGAACUGCCUUUGAAACUGGCAGACUGGAGUGUGUGAGAGGAUAGUGGAAUUCCAGGUGUAGGAGUGAAAUCCGUAGAUAUCUGGAGGAACAUCAGUGGCGAAGGCGACUAUCUGGCACAUAACUGACGCUGAGGAGCGAAAGCGUGGGUAGCAAACAGGAUUAGAUACCCGGGUAGUC
rnacentral:rRNA from 1 species